rnacentral:rRNA from 1 species
ACACUGGUACUGAGACACGGACCAGACUCCUACGGGAGGCAGCAGUGAGGAAUAUUGGUCAAUGGCCGAGAGGCUGAACCAGCCAAGUCGCGUGAGGGAAGAAUGUCCUAAGGAUUGUAAACCUCUUUUGUCGGGGAGCAAAAAGGCUCUGCGGAGUCGUAUUGAGAGUACCCGAAGAAAAAGCAUCGGCUAACUCCGUGCCAGCAGCCGCGGUAAUACGGAGGAUGCGAGCGUUAUCCGGAUUUAUUGGGUUUAAAGGGUGCGCAGGCGGCGUGUCAAGCAAGCGGUAAAAUAGCGGGGCUCAACCCCGUCGAGCCGUUUGAACUGGCGCGCUUGAGUUCAGGCGAGGUAGGCGGAAUUCGUGGUGUAGCGGUGAAAUGCAUAGAUAUCACGAAGAACUCCGAUUGCGAAGGCAGCUUACCAGUCUGCGACUGACGCUCAGGCACGAAAGUGUGGGUAUCGAACAGGAUUAGAUACCCUGGUAGUCC